UACGUAGGUGGCAAGCGUUGUCCGGAUUUACUGGGCGUAAAGGGCUCGUAGGCGGUCUGUUGCGUCGGGAGUGAAAACUCAGGGCUUAACCCUGAGCCUGCUUCCGAUACGGGCAGACUAGAGGUAUGCAGGGGAGAACGGAAUUCCUGGUGUAGCGGUGAAAUGCGCAGAUAUCAGGAGGAACACCGGUGGCGAAGGCGGUUCUCUGGGCAUGUCCUGACGCUGAGGAGCGAAAGUGUGGGGAGCGAACAGG
rnacentral:rRNA from 1 species